UCCACGUAAUGAUGAUGGUGGUAUAGUGGAAGAUCAGGAGAUUGAAGGAAAUUUAUCAAUAUUCAAAUAUCCGGGUAGACCCAUAGGUCAAUCAAAGAAAAGGAUAUUGACAAAGGAUGAAAGAAAUGCAGCUCAUUUAUAUAUCUUACUAAAUUGUGAAGAAGUUUCGCCAUUUAUCAAAAUAUAUAUUGAGGAACUACGGAGGAUAUCACCUAACAUUACCGAUGGGAAGGUAGACAUCACAUUGGAG